UACGUAGGGUGCAAGCGUUGUCCGGAAUUUAUUGGGCGUAAAGAGCUCGUAGGCGGUUUGUUGCGUCGGCUGUGAAAUCCCGAGGCUCAACCUCGGGUCUGCAGUCGAUACGAGCAAACUAGAGUGUUGCAGGGGAGACUGGAAUUCCUGGUGUAGCGGUGAAAUGCGCAGAUAUCAGGAGGAACACCGGUGGCGAAGGCGGGUCUCUGGGCAACAACUGACGCUGGAGGAGCGAAAAGCGUGGGGAGCGAAACAGG
rnacentral:rRNA from 1 species